rnacentral:rRNA from 1 species
CCCACAGCCCCAUCGCGCGGCCGGUGUGGUGGAAAGAGAAGCGUUCUUUCGGGAUUUGUAAAAAGCCCACUUUAAAGUUGGAGGAAAGGGCAAGUAAAGUCUAAUCCCUUGCUGUUUUGAGGUUACCGACAAAAAAAAGCCCCCGGCUAACUCUGUUCCCAGCAACCCGCGGUAAAACCAGAGGGGUGCAAAGCGUUAAAUCGGGAAUUUACUGGGCGUAAAGCGGCGCGUAAGGUGGGUUCGUUAAAGGUGGGAUGUUAAAAGCCCCGGGCCUCAACCUUGGGAACUUGCAUCCAAAACUGGGCGAGCUAGAGUACGGGUAGGAGGGUGGUGGAAUUUCCUGUGUAGCGGGUGAAAUGCGUAGAUAUAGGAAGGAACACCAGUGGGGAAAGGCGACCACCUGGACUGAUAUUGACACUGAGGUGUGAAAGUGUGGGGAGCAAACAGGAUUAGAUACCCUGGUAGUCCACGCCGUAACCGAUGUCAACUAGCCGUUGGAAUCCUUGAGAUUUUAGUGGCGCAGCUAACGCAUUAAGUUGACCGCCUGGGGAGUACGGCCGCAAGGUUAAAACUCAAAUGAAUUGACGGGGGCCCGCACAAGCGGUGGAGCAUGUGGUUUAAUUCGAAGCAACGCGAAGAACCUUACCAGGCCUUGACAUGCAGAGAACUUUCCAGAGAUGGAUUGGUGCCUUCGGGAAUUCUGACACAGGUGUUGCAUGGCGGUCGUCAGCUCGUGUCUUGAGAUGUUGGGUUAAGUCCCGUAACGAGCGCAACCCUUGUCUUUAGUUACCAGCACUUUAUGGUGGGCACUCUAAGGAGACUCCCGGUGACAAACCGGAGGAAGGUGGGGAUGACGUCAAGUCAUCAUGCCCUUUACGGCCUGGGCAUCUCACCUCUUCCCAGGGAAGUCCACCAGGGUUUACAAUACUCUAGGUGGCCAGUUUCGGACACAGUUCCCAGGAGUAGCCCGGGCAUUUCACAUCCAACUUAACGAACCACCUACGCGCGCUUUACGCCCAGUAAUUCCGAUUAACGCUUGCACCUUCCGUAUUAUUGUAGGCUCCUGGCACAGAGUUCAUGGGGUGCUUAUUCUGUCGGUAGCGUCAAAACAGCAAGGUAUUAGCUUACUGCCCUUCCUCCCAACUUAAAGUGCUUUA